GCGGGGCCACUUCAAGAUGUCCUUGGCCACCUGGCCAACAUACAUCACCAGCUGCAAAACCAAAGGACCGAGAUGAAUCCAGCCAACUGUGGCUCUGAUCCCCAGUUCUACACGGCACUGAGGAGGUGACUGCACAUGCCACAGAGAAAGCUGGUGAAAAUCUACCUACUCAAAGCCCACCAAAACAAUGAAGUUACAGAGCAAACAUUAUAGCUCACAGAAGACCAUCAGAAAACUGGUUUCACAUAUUCCCAGUUCUGGAAUCAUGAGAACCAUUAAAGCAACAAAUGGCAGAAGAAGAAACAAACUGAAGACCACAGAGGGUGAACGUCACACCAAAAACAAAGCCAUCAGUGAAGAGGAGCUGGACAGGACUUUUGUGUUUUGAUUCCAAAGCCUGUGGUCUUUUCUCCACAUCCCACCGUCUAGCAUCUGAC